UGUGGCAGCAUCACCCUCUCAGGUCGGCUACAUGCAUACGUUGCCUUGGUAAGCAUUCCAAUUCAACCUAAGCAUAAUCCGACCGAGUACAUCAUGUGCCACACUGGAACUGAGACACGGUCCAGACUCCUACGGAUGCAUGCAGUGGGGAAUAUUGCACAAUGGGCGAAAGCCUGAUGCAGCAACGCCGCGUGAGCAUGAAGGCCUUCGGGUCGUAAAGCUCUGUCCUCAAGGAAGAUAAUGUACGGUACUUGAGGAGGAAGCCCCGG
rnacentral:rRNA from 1 species